rnacentral:rRNA from 1 species
GACGAACGCUGGCGGCGUGCUUAACACAUGCAAGUCGAACGGAAAGGCCCUGCUCUUGUGGGGUGCUCGAGUGGCGAACGGGUGAGUAACACGUGAGUAACCUGCCCUUGACUUUGGGAUAACUUCAGGAAACUGGGGCUAAUACCGGAUAGGAGCUCCUGCUGCAUGGUGGGGGUUGGAAAGUUUCGGCGGUUGGGGAUGGACUCGCGGCUUAUCAGCUUGUUGGGGGGGUAGUGGCUUACCAAGGCUUUGACGGGUAGCCGGCCUGAGAGGGUGACCGGCCACAUUGGGACUGAGAUACGGCCCAGACUCCUACGGGAGGCAGCGGUGGGGAAUAUUGCACAGUGGGGGGAAGCCUGAUGCAGCGGCGCCGCGUGCGGGAUGACGGCCUUCGGGUUAUAAACCGCUUUCGCCUGUGACGAAGCGUGAGUGACGGUAACGGAUAAAGAAGCACCGGCUAACUACGUG